ACAACAGUGUAGAAAACCAAUUAGGGAAGGGUAGGUAUAUGUAAAAUAGGUGAAGGGUGAGGAUCAAUCAGAAGAAAGCCACCAAAUGGGAAAAGAGACUCUCAAUCCAGACCAUGGAUUUGACUCAUAGCUUGGCUUCCAGGCUUUAAACUGUCUCGGCUUGAAGGUCUCAGGUUCAAGGACAAUUGCCUGAAAGAGACCUCUUCUGAUCUCACCUUGUUCACAACGGUAAUCACAAUCUACAAGGUUAUUUGUUCUCUGAAAAACCUAACUAUUGAAUGAGCUGGAUUUGGUGUAUGAAAGCAGAAAACAAUUUUCUAUUAACCUUGAUCUCUUAACUCAUUAUCCUCCACACUGGGUAAUCCUAUUGCUUCUUCAGCUUCUCUCAGAUAUUAAAAUUCCAAUCCAGUGAAACA